rnacentral:rRNA from 1 species
CCUACGGGUGGCAGCAGUAGGGAAUAUUGCUCAAUGGGGGAAACCCUGAAGCAGCAACGCCGCGUGGAGGAUGAAGGUUUUCGGAUUGUAAACUCCUUUUGUUAGAGAAGAUAAUGACGGUAUCUAACGAAUAAGCACCGGCUAACACCGUGCCAGCAGCCGCGGUAAUACGGAGGGUGCAAGCGUUACUCGGAAUCACUGGGCGUAAAGGGCGAGGAGGCGGGAAAGCAAGUCAGAUGUGAAAUCCUAUGGCUUAACCAUAGAACUGCAUUUGAAACUGUUAUUCUAGAGUAUGGGAGAGGUAGGUGGAAUUCUACGUGUAGGGGUAAAAUCCGUAGAGAUCAAGAGGAAUACUCAUUGCGAAGGCGACCUGCUAGAACAUAACUGACGCUGAUGCGCGAAAGCGUGGGGAGCAAACAGGAUUAGAUACCCCUGUAGUC